rnacentral:rRNA from 1 species
GACGAACGCUGGCGGCGUGCUUAACACAUGCAAGUCGAACGGAAAGGCCCUGCUUUUGUGGGGUGCUCGAGUGGCGAACGGGUGAGUAACACGUGAGUAACCUGCCCUUGACUUUGGGAUAACUUCAGGAAACUGGGGCUAAUACCGGAUAGGAGCUCCUGCUGCAUGGUGGGGGUUGGAAAGUUUCGGCGGUUGGGGAUGGACUCGCGGCUUAUCAGCUUGUUGGUGGGGUAGUGGCUUACCAAGGCUUUGACGGGUAGCCGGCCUGAGAGGGUGACCGGCCACAUUGGGACUGAGAUACGGCCCAGACUCCUACGGGAGGCAGCAGUGGGGAAUAUUGCACAAUGGGCGGAAGCCUGAUGCAGCAGCGCCGCGUGCGGGAUGACGGCCUUCGGGUUGUAAACCGCUUUCGCCUGCGACGAAGCGUGAGUGACGGUAAUGGGUAAAGAAGCACCGGCUAACUACGUG